rnacentral:tRNA from 1 species
CCUUCGAUAGCUCAGUUGGUAGAGCGGUGGACUGUAGUGGUCUUUAUAGCAGUAAUCCAUAGGUCGCUGGUUCAAAUCCGGCUCGAAGGA